GCAGUGGCUGCCGGUAGAUGUAGUCUUCGUGUUUGCGUCUUAACGAUCUGUGUUCCGCCUCGGAUCUUCGGUUGUCAGCAGCCAGUAUGAAAUCCAAACGAGAAAAUGCGCAUGGGCUAGGGAAACAGUAAAUAUUGACAAAAUAAGUAUUCCAAGUGUUGUGUGAUGUCAUCACAUGGUAUCCUGCUGCAGGAUAUCAUGGGGCUAUAUAAAUUAAUAAAGCUCAGUGACAUCAU